CCUACGGGUGGCAGCAGUGAGGAAUAUUGGUCAAUGGACGAGAGCCUGAACCAGCCAAGUAGCGUGAAGGAUGACUGCCCUAUGGGUUGUAAACUUCUUUUAUAUGGGAAUAAAAUGUUCCACGUGUGGGAUUUUGUAUGUACCAUAUGAAUAAGGAUCGGCUAACUCCGUGCCAGCAGCCGCGGUAAUACGGAGGAUCCGAGCGUUAUCCGGAUUUAUUGGGUUUAAAGGGAGCGUAGGUGGAUUGUUAAGUCAGUUGUGAAAGUUUGCGGCUCAACCGUAAAAUUGCAGUUGAAACUGGCAGUCUUGAGUACAGUAGAGGUGGGCGGAAUUCGUGGUGUAGCGGUGAAAUGCUUAGAUAUGACGAAGAACUCCGAUUGCGAAGGCAGCUCACUGGACUGCAACUGACACUGAGGCGCGAAAGUGUGGGUAUCAAACAGGAUUAGAUACCCCUGUAGUC
rnacentral:rRNA from 1 species